rnacentral:tRNA from 1 species
GCCUUAGUAACUCAGCUCGGUAGAGUGAUUGACUUGUAUGAUUUCUUUUAGAAAGUCUAGAAAUCAAUUUGUCGGGGGUUCAAAUCCCCCCUGAGGCU